rnacentral:rRNA from 1 species
UGCCAGCCGCCGCGGUAAUACGGAGGGUCCGAGCGUUAUCCGGAAUCAUUGGGUUUAAAGGGUCCGUAGGCGGGAAUCUAAGUCAGUGGUGAAAUCUUGCAGCUCAACUGUAAAAUUGCCAUUGAUACUGGAUUUCUUGAAUUAGUGUGAAGUGGUUAGAAUGUGUAGUGUAGCGGUGAAAUGCAUAGAUAUUACACAGAAUACCAAUUGCGAAGGCAGAUCACUAACACUAUAUUGACGCUGAGAGACGAUGGCGUCGGGGGCGAACCGGGUUUGAUG